rnacentral:rRNA from 1 species
GACGAACCGUGCGAACGUUGUUCGGAAUCACUGGGCUUAAAGGGCGCGUAGGCGGGCUCACAAGUCAGGGGUGAAAUCCCACGGCUCAACCGUGGAAGUGCCUUUGAUACUGUGGGUCUUGAGGGAGGUAGGGGCGUGCGGAACUUCCGGUGGAGCGGUGAAAUGCGUAGAUAUCGGAAGGAACACCGGUGGCGAAGGCAGGUCUCUGGGCCGAUACUGACGCUGAGGAGCGAAAGCGUGGGGAGCGAACAGG